GACUCGUUGGUGCAGUAGUUAGCGCACCUGACUGAUGCGCCGAAGGUCGUGGGUUCGAUUCCCAUAUCGGCCA
rnacentral:tRNA from 1 species